rnacentral:rRNA from 1 species
AACGUAGGGCGCAAGCGUUGCGCGGAAUCAUUGGGCGUAAAGGGCGUGUAGGCGGUCUUUUAAGUCCAGCGUGAAAUCCUCCGGCUUAACCGGAGAACUGCGCUGGAUACUGGAAGGCUGGAGUACGGGAGAGGGAGGUAGAAUUCCCGGUGUAGCGGUGAAAUGCGUAGAUAUCGGGAGGAAUACCCGUGGCGUAAGCGGCCUCCUGGCCCGUCACUGACGCUGAAACGCUAAAGCGUGGGUAG